CUCGUUUCCGUAGGAAGAAGCGCCGGGAAAGAUGGCGGCGUCUGUGGUUUGAAUUCCAGCGGCGCCGCCAGAGUCUGAACAAGAGCUGGGGUGGAGGGGGCGGAGACCCGGGGAGCCCGGCGGGUCGCUACCGCGGGGGGUACUAGUGGCGCCGCCGCCACAGACACCAACGCCGUCGCCACCUCUGUAUCCAUGAUGGACUCGGUGUUGGAAGAGGACGUCACCGUCCCUGGGACGCUCAGCGGCUGCAGUGGCCUUGUUCCCAGUGUACCAGAUGACCUGGAUGGCAUCAACCCCAAUGCUGGGUUGGGAAAUGGUGGUAAGUACACAAAACCAGGUAUUCUCUUGAGUAAAGAACAAGGAAAGUAGACAUUGGACUGUGAGCAUCUUGAGCUUUCAUAUCUCUGGGGCCCAGAGGCUUCCCUGAACUGGCACACAGUAGGUGCUCAGUAUUUUUUGUAUGUAUUGAUUUGCUUUCCACCUCCUUACAUAAACACUGGACUAGAGGAAUUGUUGUCCUUUUGGCCAUACUUCAUGAGUUUCAUU
rnacentral:sRNA from 1 species